UGGCCAGACUCCUACGGGAGGCAGCAGUGGGGGAUAUUGCACAAUGGGGGAAACCCUGAUGCAGCGACGCCGCGUGAGUGAAGAAGCAAUUCGUUACGUAAAGCUCUAUCAGCAGGGAAGAAAAUGACGGUACCUGACUAAGAAGCCCCGGCUAACUACGUGCCAGCAGCCGCGGUAAUACGUAGGGGGCAAGCGUUAUCCGGAUUUACUGGGUGUAAAGGGAGCGCAGGCGGCGCGUUAAGCCUGGUGUGAAAGCCCGCGGCCCAACCGCGGGACUGCAUUGGGAACUGGCGCGCUGGAGUGCCGGAGGGGUAGGCGGAAUUCCUAGUGUAGCGGUGAAAUGCGUAGAUAUUAGGAGGAACACCAGUGGCGAAGGCGGCCUACUGGACGGUGACUGACGCUGAGGCUCGAAAGCGUGGGGAGCAAACAGGAUUAGAUACCCCAGUAAUG
rnacentral:rRNA from 1 species